GGGUUUGUAGCUCAGUGGAUAGAGCGUCUGUCUCCGGAACAGAAGGUCGUGGGUCCGAUUCCCAUCAAGCCCACCU
rnacentral:tRNA from 1 species